rnacentral:rRNA from 1 species
AGUGAACGCUGGCGGUAGGCCUAACACAUGCAAGUCGAACGGCGGCACAGUAAGAGCUUGCUCUUACGGGUAGCGACUGGCGGACGGGUGAGGAAUACAGCGGCAUCUACUGUUUCGUGGGGGAUAACGUAGGACAACUUAUGCUAAUACCUCAUACGACCUACCAGUGAAAUCAGGGGAUCUUCGGACCUUUCGCUCACGAAUGAGCCGAUGUCGGUUUAGCUAGUUGGCGGGUGAAAGGCCCACCAAGGCGACGAACCGUAGCUGGUCUGGGAGGAUGAUCAGCCCAACUGGAACUGAAACACGGUCCAGAUCCCACCGGGAGGAGCCAGAGGGGAACAUCGGACAAAGGGGACAAUCCUGAUCCAGCCAUACGGGGUGGGGGAAGAAGGCCUUCGGGUUGUAAAGCCUUUUUGUUGGGAAAGAAAAGCAUGAGGGUAAUACCCCGCUGAUCUGACGGUAACCAAAGAAUAAGCACCGGCUAACUUCGUG